GAUCAUGGCUCAGGAUGAACGCUAGCUACAGGCUUAACACAUGCAAGUCGAGGGGAAACGACAUCGAAAGCUUGCUUUGGNGGGCGUCGACCGGCGCACGGGUGAGUAACGCGUAUCCAACCUGCCCACCACUUGGGGAUAACCUUGCGAAAGUAAGACUAAUACCCAAUGAUAUCCCACGAAGGCAUCCGAAUGGGAUUAAAGAUUUAUCGGUGAUGGAUGGGGGAUGCGUCUGAUUAGCUUGUUGGCGGGGUAACGGCCCACCAAAGCAACGAUCAGUAGGGGGUUCUGAGAGGAAGGUCCCCCCACAUUGGAACUGAGACACGGUCCAAACUCCUACGGGAGGCAGCAGUGAGGAAUAUUGGUCAAUGGGCGAGAGCCUGAACCAGCCAAGUAGCGUGCAGGACGACGGCCCUAUGGGUUGUAAACUGCUUUUAUAAGGGAAUAAAGUGAGUCUCGUGAGACUUUUUGCAUGUACCUUAUGAAUAAGGACCGGCUAAUUCCGUG
rnacentral:rRNA from 1 species